rnacentral:rRNA from 1 species
GAUGAACGCUGGCGGCGUGCCUAAUACAUGCAAGUCGAGCGAACAGACGAGGAGCUUGCUCCUCUGACGUUAGCGGCGGACGGGUGAGUAACACGUGGAUAACCUACCUAUAAGACUGGGAUAACUUCGGGAAACCGGAGCUAAUACCGGAUAAUAUAUUGAACCGCAUGGUUCAAUAGUGAAAGACGGUUUUGCUGUCACUUAUAGAUGGAUCCGCGCCGCAUUAGCUAGUUGGUAAGGUAACGGCGCCCCAAGGCUACGAUAGGUAGGGGUCCGGAGAGGGAGAGCCCCCACACUGGUACUGGGACAGGGACCAGACUCCUACGGGAGGCAGCAGUGAGGAAGAGUGGUCAAUGGUAGGAAGACUGAACCAGCCAUGCCGCGUGCAGGAAGAAUGCCUUAGGGGUGGUAAACUGCUUUUAUAUGGGAAGAAUAAGGCGUACGGGUACGUUGAUGACGGUACCAUAUGAAUAAGCAUCGGCUAACUCCGUG